UUACGUUUAGGGCACUGUCGUAUACAGC
rnacentral:sRNA from 1 species